AGAACGAACGCUGGCGGCAUGCCUAAUACAUGCAAGUCGAACGAACUCUUCGGCCUUAGUGGCGCACGGGUGCGUAACGCGUGGGAAUCUGCCCCUUGGUUCGGAAUAACAGUUGGAAACGACUGCUAAUACCGGAUGAUGACGAAAGUCCAAAGAUUUAUCGCCAAGGGAUGAGCCCGCGUAGGAUUAGCUAGUUGGUGAGGUAAAGGCUCACCAAGGCGACGAUCCUUAGCUGGUCUGAGAGGAUGAUCAGCCACACUGGGACUGAGACACGGCCCAGACUCCUACGGGAGGCAGCAGUAGGGAAUAUUGGACAAUGGGCGAAAGCCUGAUCCAGCAAUGCCGCGUGAGUGAUGAAGGCCUUAAGGGUGUAAAGCUCUUUUACCCGAGAUGAUAAUGACAGUAUCGGAGAAUAAGCCCCGGCUAAACUCCGUGCCAGCAAGCCGAC
rnacentral:rRNA from 1 species